rnacentral:hammerhead_ribozyme from 1 species
AUUCAGCUGACCAGUCCUAAAUAGGAUGGAAUGCGUAUCCUGGAU